rnacentral:lncRNA from 1 species
GGAUGAUCGAUUGAUGAAGCGAUGAUCCACAGUUUGUUGAAGUGAGUUGAAUAUGAUUGAAAUUCAAGUUGUUGUGUUGCGGAAGCGUUUGAAGAUUAGCAGUUCCAGUUGCAGAAUUGAUCAGACAGAGUAACACAAAGUCUGUAAUUGUAAUACAGAGUGUGUGGGUGUGUGUGAUCGUGUGUUAAAGUUAAAUUUAGGAUUAGAUAAGUUUAUAUAGAAGAACACCCAACGACUAUGUUGGUUGGGUGUAUUUAAUUAUGGUAAUUAAUGUAUAUAGGAAUGUGUAAUAUGGAUUUG